GGCUCCAAGCUUCAUAGCGAUGCAGAUAAAAUUCAAACACUGUCACUGAAGACUAGACCUUGUUGGAGUAACAUUUUUCCCACUGUAGGAAGUAGAGGAAGAGAUGAAGAGUGUUGUUAAGAAGAGCUUGGAAACCUGGGAUAAUACACCUAAGCUUUUUGCUUUUCAGAAAGCAGCAGCAGAUCUAUGGCAGUAUACCAAAAGCAACGCUCACAUGGCAGGGAUGGCUGUUGCUACUGCUGCCACCCCACAGCCUUUCCUUUCCUGGAGCUCUGACAUGGUCAAAAUAAGCAGUGCGAUCAUUUUGCUGCCACUUGCAAACUGUGACUUUAGGCAAGGGUCCUGGAUGCAAUGGUGGGAUGCACUGGACUCCAUUGCUCCUCAUGUGGUCAUGUGUGAGUGCUGUUGGUUCCAAUCCAGGGAUGGAGCAACAAUUGAUCCUGGGCAGGAUGUCCAUCUAAAGAGACUUUUUGACUUACUCCAGAAUUACAUAUGGAAACCUCCACUGAAAUCCAACAGCCAAGACUACAUCAAUAAAAGUGCUUGGAAAGGCAAAGCCUGCUUACAUGAAGAACAGUCCAAAACAGACUUUGUCCAAAGAUAACAGCUUGUGGUCCCAGAGCUGGCUCCAGGAAAACAGGGAGAAUAUGAAGUCUGUCCAGACAAGUCUAUGAAUUCUCAGCAAUAUAUAUUGGCAAGGAAGAACUGAAAUUGCUAUACCAAGUCAUCAUAUCAAACUACUGGGAGUAACACUGUCAAUAGUAAAUUGCUAUGUUGCAAGACAGCAGGUAGCAAAGGAAGCUCCUAGCAGGGAGAGAUGGAUGAGAGAUAUAGUAGCUUACACCCCACCGGAAAGGAUUACCAGUGAAGCCCCAAAGGAGUAUAAACAAUUUGAUAAAAUUUGGACAGAGAUUUUAGUAGCACAGACAGAGGCUUUUUCAGUGAAAUCCUCCCCUCCAAUGCUAAGCACGUCAGGUGAGAGUCUAUGUUGUGCCUCUAGGAGAUGCAGCACAGACCUCAAAGCCAAGAGUCAAAGGGGAAAAUAAUGACUUUACAUUACCUCUGCAUCCUCAUAAUUCUGGGCUACCCCUGCAGAAUUGGCCUGAAUUUCUGCUGCUAUAUUCUGCUACAAUACACUUAACACAUCCAUCCUAUUCCAGCUUGGCUCUGUCCCUUUCUUGCCCCAGACUGAGACAGGCUGGAAGACAGAUUACUCAAAUGUUUUACCUGCAAACAAAUUUAUCUUCACACAGAUAUAUGCCAUGACAAAUCUUAGUCUAAAUGUUUAGAGUUUGGCAAAGUAAUAAACAUGUGAAGAGUCUAAAAAUGUGUUACAAAAGCUUAAAUGAUAUAUAGGGUCCAUUUUGUGGGGGUGGAUUUCAGGUUUUCCGUGUUCUGAAGUCCUUAUUUAACUAUUCAUAUAUUCAAGAAAAGAAAUCAACAAACCAAACCAAACCACUAGCACCACAACCACAAAAACAAACAAACAACAAAAAACAGCCUGAAGUUUCAAAUUACUAAGGUAAAUUAUAUAUUCACAGAAUCAGAAGCACAGAAUGAUACUCAUUCACUUUCAUAUUUUUCCCCUUAUCAGCCACGUUAUAUUGCAAAAAUCUAGAUCUGUGAAUUUUGUUUAGAAAGGAUUCAAACCUACAUUACAAUGUUUUGUCUAGUGACAGUAUCAGAUUAAAGCAAUACUAUUGUCUUUGUAAAUUGGUAACGAAGACAUACCUCUCUGUAUAUAUAUGUAUAUAUAUAUGUUUUCUAAUUUUUUAGAAGGAAAUCAGCUUUCUGCCCUACAACAUUAUUAAAAAAAUUAACAUUUCAAGAGUUGCUGUCAUCUUUCACAUUUUUCAAGUAGCUUGACUCCCAUCCCUAUAACGUUUUUUUUCUGAUUAGCCUGCUGUCCUCUUUAAUCAAUAGAGCUACAAAGCCAGCUAUCUCUCACGCUAUGGUUAUCUUUCAUUGUACAGUACAUAAUGCCGCUAGUCCUGCUGAUAACAAAGAGCACACAGACAGAAUGUGGCACUGUGUGUUUGUUAUCUUCCACUCAACUAAACAUACCUCUUUCUCUCUCGGCUCUUAUCAAUGCAAAAAUGCUGGAAACAAGUUACUCCUAGUGUUAACACUGCACAUGCCACACAGUUGGGAUGGAGAAUUUUUCCUGUCUUAAGGCUGCCAAUUUGAUACGGCGCUACAAAAGCUUGCCAAUGUGAUGCAUCACCUUGUCAGCCUUUAAGAAGGCAGUGCGAAGUGGCACCAUCAGCAGCCAGCUGUACACAGCUAACCAGAAUGCUCUGGAUGCUCCGGGAGCAUAAGGCAGGGAGAUUGACCCCAGAGCUGUUCGUGGUUGACCUCAGACCUGCAAAAAGGAAAGUAAUCCAGUUCUAUUCUUUUUCAUUUCCUACAAAACAUAAAAGCUGAUAAGCUUUGGUCUCUCUCACGGCAAUAAGAAAACAGUUAAAUUGAACCUUCACUUCAGUUAGAGAACAAUCCAGUGAUUUCCGUUCUUGCAGGUCUGCCACUCACAAAGGAUGAAAGUGCCUUUCUCAGGAAAAAAAAAUAGGACCAUCUCUUACGUGUUCCCUGACACAAAACACCCUGGAUGCGAGUUCAGUCCCUCUGAACUUGGGAAGUAUAACUAAGAUAUUUUAUUGGUACUUGCAACAUACAUAGAAGAACUUGAUGUUCCACAUUUAAACAGAGCUUUGACCAUGUAUUCACACAAAAUUUGCAAGAGACCUGCCAUUGUUCCCUUUGCUCUCAGUUGAUCCUUAAAAAAGCUUAAACUGGAGAUUAUUGAAUUUCACAAUGUUUUCCUGUUUGUUUGUUUUUUUGUUUAUUUUUAUUUUUUUUUUUCAAAAGAAAAGACUGGCAUGGCCCAUAAAAAAGCUAAAUGUGUAAGUUCCUAAGAAAUAAAAAAUAAAUUUUUGCUUGGAGUAUAAGUGUGUUAGCUUAUGUGUAAGCAGUAUGUGUGCAACAAAAUCCUUGCUAACUAAGAAGAGUUUGAAGAAAAAAGAAGCAUGUGUAAACCUAUAAAGCAUAUCCGCCUUUAUAAAUAAAUAUGCAAGGUCAUAUUACAUGUUUUGUUGCAUGAUUUUUAUCAGUAGCAUGAAAGCUUUACUAAACUUUAUGCAACAUAAUAAUGUAAUUUUAUAUCAGUAUUGUAUUUGAUAACACUCAAAUAAUCUCCAAAACACAAUUAUGCCUGUGUUGGAAACACUUCAGAUUUUAUAAUUUCUAACCAUUAAGUACACUGUUAUGCAGUUUUGAGUAAGAAAUGAUCCUACAGUUAUGUUUUAUGUCUUGCUUGAUAGCAUGACCUUUGAUAAAGAGUCUCAGCAACGGAAUUCAAAGUGUACAUAGUAUUUAUGAUGUGCUCAUAACCGUAUUGCUUCUAGCUCUAGGCAAACACUACGUAUCUGCAUUCAGAUUUUAAAAUAAAUUUACUUCAGUGUGU
ensembl:lncRNA